rfam:Salmo salar isolate Sally breed double haploid chromosome ssa05, whole genome shotgun sequence.
GGCUCCAUAGCUCAAUGGUUAGCGCAAUGUUCUUGUAAACCAGGGGGUUGUGAGUUCAGAUCACGCUGGGGCCU